ensembl:snRNA U6 U6 spliceosomal RNA
GUGCUCACUUCAGCAGCACAUAUACUAAAAUGGAAUGAGACAGAGAUCGGCAUGGGCCCUGCACAAGGAUAACAAGCAAAUCUGAGAUGCAUUCUGUAUUUUU